GUCGCUCACGAGGUCGCGCCUCGCACCCGCCUUCCUCCUUUUCUUUUACCCUCCCCUUCAGAAAAAACGGCGGUUGGGCUGCGACGGCCGCCAAAGGCGGACUAGAAGCGGAGGGGUGAAAAUCCCGGGAGAGAAGGAAGAAGGGACUGCAGGCGGGAGGAGGAGGAGGAGAAGGAGGAAGGGAGCCCGCCCAGCCGGAGCCAUCUCCGUCGAGAACAAAAUGGCGGCGCUGGCGGAGGGCCAACUAUGAGGCGGGGCCGCGGCCAUUCCCCCUCCGCCCCCACCCUUGCGCCGGCCGGGCCGGUCAGGGGGAACCCGCUCGCUUCGCCCGGCCGCGGGCGGGGAGGGGAGGGGAGCGGCCCGGCCCACUAUGCAAAGCGCCGGGCGCCGCCGCCGCCACCCCGUGGCAAAGAAUAUGCUUUUUGUCUAAUGAUGUUAGAUAAAAAGCAAAUUUGGAGCAGUUUUCUUAUUCGAGUUCAAAAUGGUUCAUAAAGCAGCGAAGACAACUCAAAACAUCAGUAACACAUUUGGCCCAGGAACUGCUAACAAACAUACAGUGCAGUGGUGGCUUAAGAAGUUUUGCAAGGAAGAGAGCCUUGAAGAUGAGGAACGUGAUAUGGGCCAUGGGAAGUUGACAACGACCAAUUGAGAGCAAUCAUUGAACUACAUGAAAAAUUACAGAAGAACUCAGCGUUGACUAUUCUACGGUCAUUAGGGUCGCUCAGCAUUAGAAGCAAAUCGGAAAGGUGAAAAAGCUUGAUAAGUGGGUGCCUCAUGAGCUGAGCGGAAAUCAAAACUAUCGUUUUGAAGUGUAGUCUUCUUUUAUGCUACGCAAUAACAAACCAUUUCUCAAUCGGAUUGUGACAUGUAACGAAAAGUGAAUUUUAUACAACAACCCGCUCAGUGGUUGGACCAAGAGGCAGCUCCAGAGCAGUUCCCAAAGCCAAACUUGCACCAAAAAAAAGGUCAUGGUCACUGUUUGGUGGUCUGCUGCCCAUCUGAUCCACUACAGUUUUCUGAAUCCUGGCGAAACCAUUACAUCUGAGAAGUAUGCUCAGCAAAUUGGUAAGAUGCACCGAAAACUGCAAUACCUGCUGCCUGCAUUGGUCAACAGAAAGGGCCCAAUUCUUCUCCACGACAACACCUGACUGCGUGUUGCACAACCAGUGCUUCAAAAGUUGAAGGAAUUGGGCUACAAAGUUUUGCCUCAUCCACCAUAUUCACCUGACCUUUCGCCAACUGACUACCACUUCUGCUAGCAUCUUGACAACUUUUUGCAGGGAAAACACUUCAGCAUGAUGCAGAAAAUGCUUUCCAAGAGUUCGUCAAAUCCUGAAGCACGGAUUUUUAUGCUACAGGAAUAAACAAACAUUUCUCAUUGGCAAAAAUGUGUUGAUUGUAAUGGUUCCUGUUUUGAUUAAUAGAAUAUGUUUUAGCGUAGUUACAAUGAUUUAAAAUUCGCAGUCUGGAAAUUUAAUUUUUGCAUCAACCUAAUAUUUCUAUGGUAAAUCCUUGCAAACAUGGAAACAAUGCAUUUGGCCCAGUGCUUUGUGGUUGUGUACUCUUUUUCUUUCUUUUUUUAAUAGAUGGCAUUGGCCGGGCAUGGUGGCUCAUGCCUGUAAUCCCAGCAUUUUGGGAGGGUGAGGUGGGUGGAUCACCUGAGGUCAGGAGUUCAAGACCAGCCUGACUAACAUGGUAAAACCCCAUCUCUACUAAAAAUACAAAAAAAUUAGGCGGGGUGGCGGGCAUCUAAUUCCAGCUACUUCAUGAGGCUGCAACAGGAGAAUCAUUUGAACCCGGGAGGCAGAGGUUGCAGUGAGCCGAGAUCACACCAUUGCACUCCAGCCUGGGCGAUGAGUGAAACUGUCUC
rnacentral:antisense_RNA from 1 species